GUGGGGAAUAUUGCACAAUGGGCGAAAGCCUGAUGCAGCGACGCCGCGUGAGGGAUGACGGCCUUCGGGUUGUAAACCUCUUUCAGCGGGGACGAAGGGCAACUGACGGUACCCGCAGAAGAAGCACCGGCUAACUACGUGCCAGCAGCCGCGGUAAUACGUAGGGUGCGAGCGUUGUCCGGAAUUAUUGGGCGUAAAGAGCUCGUAGGCGGUUUGUUGCGUCGGCUGUGAAAACUUCACGCUUAACGUGGAGCCUGCAGUCGAUACGGGCAGACUUGAGUUCGGCAGGGGAGACUGGAAUUCCUGGUGUAGCGGUGAAAUGCGCAGAUAUCAGGAGGAACACCGGUGGCGAAGGCGGGUCUCUGGGCCGAUACUGACGCUGAGGAGCGAAAGCGUGGGGAGCGAACAGG
rnacentral:rRNA from 1 species